rnacentral:lncRNA from 1 species
CCUGCUUCUUCCAGGGAAGUUUUAAGAGUUUUAGUUUUACUUUUAGAGUUUAAGCCAUUGAAUUCCUAAGGGCUAACAAGGGAUUUCAUCCUGUGCACUGAAAAUGACAGUCUUGUUGUCAUACAACCUUGGGUCUGAGCCCAACUCUAUCAUUUAAAAGCUGCAUGACUGGCUGGGUGCAGUGGCUCACACCUGUAAUCCCAGUACUUUGGGAGGCCUAGGCAGGUGGAUUACCUGAGGUCAGGAGUUUGAGACCAGCCUGGCCAACAUGGUAAAACCCCGUCUCUACUAAAAGUACAAAAAUUAGUUGGGCAGGGUGGCGGGCAUCUGUAAUCCUAUCUACUCAGGAGUCUAAGACAUGAGAAUUGCUUGAACCCAGGAGGUGGAGGUUGCAGUGAGCCAAGAUUGUGCUAUUGCCCUCAAGAGCAAAAUUCCGUCUUAAAAAAAAAACAAAAAACCAAAAACACUGCAUGACCUACUUGGAAAGCUACUUAAUCUCUCUGUGCCUCUGUUUCUUCAUAGGGAAAUAAAUGUGCAGAAAGUUUAUUGUAGUGUGUUUCCGGGAGCAGCAUCUGCUGGGGAAGAGAAGGAAGUAGAGUUGGACAGAGGAAGAAGCUGAGCAGCAAUGUAGGCGAUGCCGAGCCCUGAAGCUGGAUGGCUUUGCAGAGUGGUACUGACUUAGGAUGAGGGGGAAGAGGCCUUUAGAGCACCAUACUGACCACUCAUUGGAUCUGGGGCUUGACCUUGGGAAAAAGAAGGUAGACUUGGUGUCCUGUGAUAGAAGAAAAAGCAGAAUUAUGAAAUGCAUACGGCUCUGUAGCCCACAAAGGAACUACAGGGGAUAGCGACCCAGCCUGUUCAUCUUAAGCGGGGUGGUGGGAGAUUGGCAGCAGAGGGGAAGCGUCAGCCUGGAAGAAGGUGAGGAGCUGAAAUGAAUUGUGAAGAAGCUUGUGGAUAUUCCUCCCCA